rnacentral:sRNA from 1 species
CAGUUUCGAUUUGCUGAGGACAGAUAAAGUGAAUGUGAGUAUCAAUCGCCCCAGCAGUCAGAAUUUUGCCUUCUCCUGCUAUAGCUUCCGUUCCAGGACCAAUAAUAAUAUCUAUGUUGUCUUGUGUGUAGGGAUUACCUGCUUUACCAAUUUUAAAAAUUUUCCCGUCUUUAAUGCCGACAUCUGCUUUAAUAAUGCCUGACCAAUCAAGAAUCAAAGCGUUGGUGAUCACCACAUCUACCGCACCAUCAGCAUUUGAAAUGGGGGAUUGUCCCAUUCCAUCUCG